AACGAACGCUGGCGGCAUGCCUAACACAUGCAAGUCGAACGAGACCUUCGGGUCUAGUGGCGCACGGGUGCGUCACGCGUGGGACCCUGCCCUUAGGUUCGGAAUAACUCCCCGUAAGGGGUGCUAAUACCGGAUAAUGUCUUCGGACCAAAGAUUUAUCGCCGUUGGAUGGGCCCGCGUUGGAUUAGCUUGUUGGUAGGGUAAAAGCCUACCAAGGCGAGGAUCCAUAGCUGGUAUGAGAGGAUGGUCAGCCACACUGGGACUGAGACACGGCCCAGACUACUACGGGAGGCAGCAGUGGGGAAUAUUGGAAAAUGGGCGAAAGCCUGAACCAGCAAUGCCGGGUGAGUGAUGAAGGCCUUAGGGAAGUAAAGCUGUUUUACCCGGGAUGAUAAUGACAGUACCGGGAGAAUAAGCACCGGCUAACUCCGUG
rnacentral:rRNA from 1 species